GCCCCGGUAGGGUAGUGGAUAUCCUGGGANNUUCCGACCCGGGUUCGAAUCCCGGCUGGGGCG
rnacentral:tRNA from 1 species